AGAAACAAAGACCUUCAACCUUCAGG
rnacentral:piRNA from 1 species